CAUUGAAGACGAAGAAGAAUAGAAUAUCCGAGGUAAACCCAUCUCUAUCAGUCGCUGUACGCUCGUUCGCUAGAUGCUCCUGGGAGUUCUACUUGGAGUACCUCUUGUAUUGCUCCUGAGCAUUCCAACAAACGCCCUCCGUACUGGACACAAUGCUCUCCUAUGGUGUCCUCCUGGAGCUCUUCGUCCCGUUUGGUACACUCUUGGCGUCAUCUGUGUUGCCUCUCAUCCUCAGAAAGAUGGCAACUCUUAAAGGGUACACUCUGUACCUCACAAGUGCGAUAGACAAAAGCAUAAGUGUCACCGCUGGUAUGGCCCUCGCCCAUUGGUUUCUGCGCAUGAUGCCUUUCACGAGAGCAGUGAGUGCGCUCAUCAACCUCUCGCCGCUUUGCUGCGAUGGAGGGUUUCAACGUCGGCGCCUUCCCAAACGGCAAAUCCGGUCGCUAUACGUCCGCAAUCGUUCACCAGAUGCUCCUGGGAGUUCUGCUUGGUGUUUCAUCUCUGAGGACGAAUUUCAACGAACCACUGCUGGCGUUGUUCGCCUGCCUGUACGCUUGUUCGAUGCCGCUCGGAAUCUUAUGGGCAGAUACCGUGAAGUUCUGGGAUGCGCACAUCGAACUAGCAACGCAGAGAAGCUGGGCCAUGGUACUAUGUUGUGCAUCUGGAGCCUUUGCGUCGGCGUUAUUUCGAUACAUACUUCUUCCCGAAGUAACGGCGAAAAGGAAGAAGCGGAUAUAUCUAAUGGGAGCGGGUGUUUGGCUGUGGGUGAUAGUGUCGUGGCCUUUCUUCGACAUAUAACGUUUCAUGCUGCUUUGUAUUCACGCUUCCAUCAUAGGAGUCAGCAACGCUUUCUUUGUUACCGCACCGAAUAUGUAACAGUAGGUCGGGCCGACUAGAAUAUAGAUGCUGCUUGCGAAUGUA